rnacentral:rRNA from 1 species
GACGAACGCUGGCGGCGUGCUUAACACAUGCAAGUCGAACGGGAACCUUUAUUUCGGUAAAGGUGAGAGUGGCAAACGGGUGAGUAACACGUAGGCAACCUGCCGACAGGAUGGGGACAACAUUCCGAAAGGAAUGUUAAUACCGAAUGAAGUCACCGGAGGGCAUCCUCUGGUGAUGAAAGAUGGCCUCUGAAUAUGCUAUCACCUGUCGAUGGGCCUGCGUCUGAUUAGCCAGUUGGCGGGGUAACGGCCCACCAAAGCGACGAUCAGUAGCCGGUCUGAGAGGAUGAACGGCCACAUUGGGACUGAGACACGGCCCAGACUCCUACGGGAGGCAGCAGUGGGGAAUCUUCCACAAUGGGGGAAAGCCUGAUGGAGCAACGCCGCGUGAGUGAAGAAGGUCUUCGGAUCGUAAAGCUCUGUUGCACGGGACGAAAACCGAGCUGAA